CUGAUCUUGGUCUAGAACACCUGCAUUCGAAUUGAAGUUUUGUCCAGAACAUGGAAGUUUCCGUCAGAACAUGAAAGAAGAUGUUUGGAAGGAGUUCUGAGUUUUCAUUUAUCCAGUGACUGGCCAAGAUUGCAAAGCUGAAGUUGCCUUGUGCUCAUUUGCAGUCAAUCCCACUCCUGUCUUCAGACUGAGAAAACCAUAGUUCAACUUUCUG